rnacentral:rRNA from 1 species
GACGAACGCUGGCGGCGUGCCUAAUACAUGCAAGUCGAGCGGACGGAUGGGAGCUUGCUCCCAGACCGUCAGCGGCGGACGGGUGAGUAACACGUGGGCAACCUGCCUGUAAGACUGGGAUAACUCCGGGAAACCGGGGCUAAUACCGGAUAACUCUUUCCCUCACAUGAGGGAAAGCUGAAAGAUGGCAUCUCGCUAUCACUUACAGAUGGGCCCGCGGCGCAUUAGCUAGUUGGUGAGGUAACGGCUCACCAAGGCGACGAUGCGUAGCCGACCUGAGAGGGUGAUCGGCCACACUGGGACUGAGACACGGCCCAGACUCCUACGGGAGGCAGCAGUAGGGAAUCUUCCGCAAUGGACGAAAGUCUGACGGAGCAACGCCGCGUGAGUGAUGAAGGUUUUCGGAUCGUAAAACUCUGUUGUCAGGGAAGAACAAGUACCGGAGUAACUGCCGGUACCUUGACGGGACCUGACCAGAAAACCACGGCUAACUACGU